UAGCUUAGGCUGGUUGGAGCACCCGGCUGAUAACCGGGAGGUCGCAGGUUCAAAUCCUGC
rnacentral:tRNA from 1 species